GAUGAACGCUGGCGGCGUGCCUAAUACAUGCAAGUCGAGCGAACAGACGAGGAGCUUGCUCCUCUGACGUUAGCGGCGGACGGGUGAGUAACACGUGGAUAACCUACCUAUAAGACUGGGAUAACUUCGGGAAACCGGCGCUAAUACCGGAUAAUAUAUUGAACCGCAUGGUUCACUAUUGAAAGACGGUUUUGCUGUCACUUAUAGAUUGAUCCGCGCCGCAUUAGCUAGUUGGUAAGUUAACGGCUUACCAAGGCUAUGGUGCGUAGCCGACCCGAGAGGGUGUUCGGCCACACUGGAACUGAGACACGGUCCAGACUCCUACGGGAGGCAGCAGUAGGGAAUCUUCCGCAAUGGGAGAAAGCCUGACGGAGCAACGCCGCGUGAGUGAUGAAGGUCUUCGGAUCGUAAAACUCUGUUAGUAGGGAAGAACAAAUGUGUAAGUAACUAUGCACGUCUUGACGGUACCUAAUCAGAAAGCCACGGCUAACUACGUG
rnacentral:rRNA from 1 species